UACGUAGGGGGCAAGCGUUGUCCGGAUUUAUUGGGCGUAAAGAGCUCGUAGGCGGUUUGGUAAGUCUGGUGUGAAAUCUCCACGCUCAACGUGGAGGGGCCACCCGAUACUGCCAUGACUGGAGUCCGGUAGAGGAGUGUGGAAUUCCCGGUGUAGCGGUGAAAUGCGCAGAUAUCGGGAGGAACACCGGUGGCGAAGGCGGUUCUCUGGGCCUUACCUGACGCUGAGGAGCGAAAGCGUGGGGAGCGAACAGG
rnacentral:rRNA from 1 species